rnacentral:rRNA from 1 species
ACGAGUUUGAUCAUGGCUCAGAACGAACGCUGGCGGCAUGCCUAAUACAUGCAAGUCGAACGAGAUCUUCGGAUCUAGUGGCGCACGGGUGCGUAACGCGUGGGAAUCUACCCUUGGGUUCGGAAUAACUUCGGGAAACUGAAGCUAAUACCGGAUGAUGACGUAAGUCCAAAGAUUUAUCGCCCAAGGAUGAGCCCGCGUAGGAUUAGCUAGUUGGUGAGGUAAAGGCUCACCAAGGCUACGAUCCUUAGCUGGUCUGAGAGGAUGAUCAGCCACACUGGGACUGAGACACGGCCCAGACUCCUACGGGAGGCAGCAGUAGGGAAUAUUGGACAAUGGGGGAAACCCUGAUCCAGCAAUGCCGCGUGAGCGAUGAAGGCCUUAGGGUUGUAAAGCUCUUUUACCCGAGAUGAUAAUGACAGUAUCGGGAGAAUAAGCCCCGGCUAACUCCGUG